AGAGUUUGAUCAUGGCUCAGAGCGAACGCUGGCGGCAGGCUUAACACAUGCAAGUCGAGCGGGCGUAGCAAUACGUCAGCGGCAGACGGGUGAGUAACGCGUGGGAACGUACCUUUGGUUCGGAACAACACAGGGAAACUUGUGCUAAUACCGGAUAAGCCCUUACGGGGAAAGAUUUAUCGCCGAAAGAUCGGCCCGCGUCUGAUUAGCUAGUUGGUAGGGUAAUGGCCUACCAAGGCGACGAUCAGUAGCUGGUCUGAGAGGAUGAUCAGCCACAUUGGGACUGAGACACGGCCCAAACUCCUACGGGAGGCAGCAGUGGGGAAUAUUGGACAAUGGGGGCAACCCUGAUCCAGCCAUGCCGCGUGAGUGAUGAAGGCCCUAGGGUUGUAAAGCUCUUUUGUGCGGGAAGAUAAUGACGGUACCGCAAGAAUAAGCCCCGGCUAACUUCGUG
rnacentral:rRNA from 1 species